UCAUAUGGCCAUUACUAUCAACAUAAGAAGAGCAAUAGUUUUAGUCAGUCAUGACAAGAGCUCCUAGAUUCAAAAUCCUCCUGUUUUCCAGUAUAGCUCUAUGCAUUCAUUGAUUUACUUAAUAGCCUCACAAGAGUCUUUCGGUCUUUCCUAUGUCUCCUUGAAUCCUUAACAUGCCAACAAGGAAUUCCAGAAAAAAAUGGGCAAUAAUUGCCUAGAAGAACCUUUCAAGGUGGUGGGACUCCCGGAGGGGCUAUCUGCUAGAUUUUAGCUCAGGUGUAUAAAUUUGGGACUCUCCAAAUGUUUUGGCUUUUUCUUUGGCAAAGUUGCCCCCUGCCUGCUUUAGCCAGCUUGUGAUAGAUUUAAACAAGAAAUGUUUUAUAGGUUGAUUUCUUCUUUUUACUGCAUUGCUGUGAAAGGAACAGGAACAAAAAUAACAAGCUUAGCAACACAUGAAGCCACCUUAACUCUGUCUUGUAUGUCACCCAGACUGGCCCUAGGUCACUCCAGGAAUUUUAGAUUUCCGUUUUUCUCACCCCUACAAGAUGCUGUUCAUUAAACCCAUGGCAACAGCCACCUGCAUUCAAAGCACAGUUCCAUGAUCUCAAACAUUUUGGUCUCAUGACCUCACAGAGCUUUGAUUUUCAGGGUUAGAUCUGUCAAUAUCGACUGUAUUAGAAAUCAGAUUUUAAAGAAUUGAUUUGACUUUGUGGUCCAGCGGUCCCCAGACCAGACUUUAAGAAUUACUGUCCUUGCAAAUGGACAUGUGCUUAAAGCUUUAUAGGACACGUUUCUUGUGCCUCUCCAGGAAGAUCCUACAGGGCCCUGUAUCUGCCAGCUCUAAUGAAGUGUCAGGAACUGUUUAAGACUUGUUGCCCUGCUGGGCCUCAGCGAAGGGAAAUAUUCCUCCCUCCACCUAGUUCCUGUCCAAUUGUGUCAUGCUGCGUCAUGAGAAGGAAAGGAAACUCUGACCAAAUGCUACUGGCUCUAGCCCUGCUUUCUUAAGUUAUCUCUAAGCAUGUUAAUGAAUGCCUCAAUGGCUCAGUAUGCUCACCAGUAAGCUGGGUGAUAAAAAACAUCUUCCUGAGAAUAGCAAAAGUCCCCAGUCUCACAUAAUUUCCUGCUCCUUAUUUUGCGGCACAGAAAAAAAUAAACUUAUCUCCUGAUUAA